GGCUUUUUUCGCCGCGGAGCUCGACCGCCCCUCGCGCUGAUCCUGGACUACAUCGACCAGCACAAAGACCAGUUCGGAGUCGAGCCGAUCUGCGCUGCGCUGACCGCGGCGGGCGCCAAGAUCGCUCCG
rfam:Cryptosporangium aurantiacum strain DSM 46144 genome assembly, contig: Ga0131100_126